GAUGAACGCUGGCGGCGUGCUUAACACAUGCAAGUCGAACGGUGAAGCAGAGCUUGCUCUGUGGAUCAGUGGCGAACGGGUGAGUAACACGUGAGCAACCUGCCCCUGACUCUGGGAUAAGCGCUGGAAACGGCGUCUAGUACUGGAUAUGAGCUGCGACCGCAUGGUCAGCAGUUGGAAAGAUUUUUCGGUCUGGGAUGGGCUCACGGCCUAUCAGCUUGUUGGUGAGGUAAUGGCUCACCAAGGCGUCGACGGGUAGCCGGCCUGAGAGGGUGACCGGCCACACUGGGACUGAGACACGGCCCAGACUCCUACGGGAGGCAGCAGUGGGGAAUAUUGCACAAUGGGCGAAAGCCUGAUGCAGCAACGCCGCGUGAGGGAUGACGGCCUUCGGGUUGUAAACCUCUUUUAGCAGGGAAGAAGCGAAAGCGACGGUACCUGCAGAAAAAGCGCCGGCUAACUACGUG
rnacentral:rRNA from 1 species